GGUUGUAUAGUGUAGCGGUUAUCACUCCGGAUUCUGAUCUUCCAUCAGGACAUUCCGGCAACCCCGGUUCGAAUCCGGGUACGACCU
rnacentral:tRNA from 1 species